UAUCUCUGUAGAGUCUGCAUAUCAAUAAGCGGAGGAAAAGAAACUAACAAGGAUUCCCUUAGUAACGGCGAGUGAAGCGGGAAGAGCUCAAAUUUGAAAUCUUCAAGGUUCUACCUUGACGAAUUGUAGUUUAAAGAAGUGUUUUCUGUUAGAUGAGUUCGGUAAAGUUCCUUGGAAUAGGGACAUCAUAGAGGGUGAGAAUCCCGUAUUUGACCGUUAUUAUUCUAGCUGUGUGAUACACUUUCAAAGAGUCGGAUUGUUUGGGAAUGCAGUCCAAAAUGGGUGGUAAAUUUCAUCUAAAGCUAAAUAUUGGCGAGAGACCGAUAGCGAACAAGUACCGUGAGGGAAAGAUGAAAAGAACUUUGAAAAGAGAGUUAAACAGUACGUGAAAUUGUCAAAAGGGAAGCGUUUGACACCAGUGUUGUUUUCUCGAAAAUCAAUUAAAAAUGCUUGAUUUGCAGGUUGUAUUGACCUUAAAAGCUUUCUUCACUUUUUUCAUGUCUUUUUUAAUGCACUUUUCGUUUAACAAGUCAACAUCAGUUUCUUUUGUUGUAAAAAGGUCAUUGGAAGGUGGCUUUCUUUUCGGAGAAAGUGUUUAUAGCCUUUGACUCCUGCAAUCGGAGAGACUGAGGUCUGCAGCGUAGAUCCUUCUGGAUUAGAUUCAUUUGUGCUAAGUUACAACUGUUUAUAGACAACUUGUUGACUAUAUUCGAUCCUGUAGCUUACUCGCUUAUGUAAUUUUACCUACGCUUAGGAUGUUGACUGAUAUGUAGUCGUA
rnacentral:rRNA from 1 species